rnacentral:rRNA from 1 species
AUUGAACGCUGGCGGCAUGCCUUACACAUGCAAGUCGAACGGCAGUCACGGGAGCAAUCCUGGUGGCGAGUGGCGAACGGGUGAGUAAUAUAUCGGAACGUGCCCAGUCGUGGGGAUAACGUAGCGAAAGCUACGCUAAUACCGCAUACGAUCUAUGGAUGAAAGCGGGGGAUCGCAAGACCUCGCGCGAUUGGAGCGGCCGAUAUCAGAUUAGGUAGUUGGUGAGGUAAAGGACUCACCAAGCCGACGAUCUGUAGCUGGUCUGAGAGGACGACCAGCCACACUGGGACUGAGACACGGCCCAGACUCCUACGGGAGGCAGCAGUGGGAAUUUUGGGACAAUGGGCGCGAAGCCUGACCCAGCAAUGCCGCGUGCAGGAUGAAGGCCUUCGGGUU